AACCUCCGCAAUGUGAGAAAUCGCGACGGGGGGAUCCCAAGUGCCAUUCUUAACGGGAUGGCUUUUCAUUAGUGUAAAGAGCUUUUGGAAUAAGAGCUGGGCAAGACCGGUGCCAGCCGCCGCGGUAACACCGGCAGCUCUAGUGGUAACAAUUUUUAUUGGGCCUAAAGCGUCCGUAGCCGGUUUAAUAAGUCUCUGGUGAAAUCCUGCAGCUUAACUGUGGGAAUUGCUGGAGAUACUAUUAGACUUGAGACCGGGAGAGGUUAGAGGUACUCCCAGGGUAGAGGUGAAAUUCUGUAAUCCUGGGAGGACCGCCUGUUGCGAAGGCGUCUAACUGGAACGGUUCUGACGGUGAGGGACGAAGUUAGGGGCGCGAACCGGAUUAGAUACCCGGGGUAUCCUAACUGUAAACGAUGCGGACUUGGUGUUGGGGUGGCUUUGAGCUGCUUCAGUGCCGAGGGAAGCUGUUAAGUCCGCCGCCUGGGAGUACGGUCGCAAGACUGAAACUUAAAGGAAUU
rnacentral:rRNA from 1 species